CGCGCGCAGCGGGGAAGGCUUUGUAGACGCCGGCUCGGGUCUGGGAUUUAAAGAACUGAAUUUCGAUGGGUGAAGACAGUGGGAAAGGGCGGUGGCAUGAUCCUUGUUUUACAGACUAGGAAAUCGAGCCUCAGGGGAGUGACGGGGCUUCUCCGCAGGCUCCGCGAAGAAAGCGAGGGUGGGAGGACCCAGACGAGCGGCCACAACAGCCUCAGCGGCCACAACAGCUUCAGCGCCCACAACAGCUUCAGCGGCCAACUCAUGUCAGCCGGCAGAGGGCGCAGGGAGCGGGCAGCUCCAGCUCCGCUGGGGCGUGGCCUUCUGACGCACCGACACAGUUCCCUCUGUGGCCACCCAUUGGCUCCCUCUUACCGCCCUUUUCCGGGGCAAGGGAAGCUAGUAGCGGAGCCGGAAGUGAGUUACCCUCGGGCUCGAGACAGCAGCGGCGUUUAAAGCUGAGCGACCCAGUGCCACUGGAGACGGUCAGCUUCUCCACUCAGGCUCCUCCAGCCCAAGCCAGAAGACCCCCUCCCCCAGAAUUCUGGGGGCCUAUGGAAGGGAGCCGAGUCAGAUCGCGAGGUACCCAGAGCCGAGCCACAGGGCGUUGCCAGAAGCCCCGCCCCUAGGAGUGAUCGGAAAGCCUCACCCAUCCGGGUGAGGAACCUGGAGGGACCGCCUCGGGGCGGAGCCCGCCGACCAUGGCUACGCCCCCGGUGGCCGGUCCCGCAGCUCUACGCUUUGCCGCCGCGGCUAGCUGGCAGGUUGUGCGCGGACGCUGCGUGGAACAUUUUCCGCGAGUACUGGAGUUUCUGCGAUCUCUGCGCGCUGUUGCCCCUGGCUUGGUUCGCUACCGGCACCACGAACGCCUUUGUAUGGGCCUAAAGGCCAAGGUGGUGGUGGAGCUGAUCCUGCAGGGCCGGCCUUGGGCCCAAGUCCUGAAAGCCCUGAAUCACCACUUUCCAGAAUCUGGACCUAUAGUGCGGGAUCCCAAGGCUACAAAGCAGGAUCUGAGGAAGAUUUUGGAAGCACAGGAAACUUUUUACCAGCAGGUGAAGCAGCUGUCAGAGGCUCCUGUGGAUUUGGCCUCGAAGCUGCAGGAACUUGAACAAGAGUAUGGGGAACCCUUUCUGGCUGCCAUGGAAAAGUUGCUUUUUGAAUACUUGUGUCAGCUGGAGAAAGCACUGCCUACACCGCAGGCACAGCAGCUUCAGGAUGUGCUGAGUUGGAUGCAGCCUGGAGCCUCUAUCACCUCUUCUCUUGCCUGGAGACAAUAUGGUGUGGACAUGGGGUGGCCACUUCCAGAGUGCUCUGUUACUGACUCAGUGAACCUGGCUGAGCCCAUGGAACAGAAUCCUCCUCAGCAACAAAGACUAGCACUCCACAAUCCUCUGCCAAAAGCCAAGCCUGGCACACGCCUUCCUCAGGGACCAUCUUCAAGGACGCACCCAGCACCUCUAGCUGGCCGACACUUCAAUCUGGCCCCCCUAGGCCGACGAAGAGUCCAGUCCCAAUGGGCCUCCACUAGGGGAGGCCAUAAGGAGCGCCCCACAGUCAUGCUGUUUCCCUUUAGGAAUCUCGGCUCACCAACCCAGGUCAUAUCUAAGCCUGAGAGCAAGGAAGAACAUGCGAUAUACACAGCAGACCUAGCCAUGAGCACAAGAGCAGCCUCCACUGGGAAGUCUAAGAGUCCAUGCCAGACCCUGGGGGGAAGGGCUCUGAAGGAGAACCCAGUUGACUUGCCUGCCACAGAGCAAAAGGAGAAUUGCUUGGAUUGCUACACGGACCCCCUGAGACUAUCAUUAUUACCUCCUAGGGCCAGGAAGCCAGUGGGCAGAUGUCUAUGUACCACAGCUAGUACUUGUCAGAUUUCCCACCAAAGUACUGAGUGAUCUGGGUUGGAUUUCAUCUGCCAGCACAUUCACUGCUUCUGACUUAAAAGGUGACAAGCUGCUGGUGCAGUGGGACAGGCAGCAGACAUGAAAGAACCAUGAAGAGGCUGGAUGGAGCCUGUGUUUUUCUGCACUGACUCAGCCCCUCUCCUAAGCUCAACAGAUUGCAAACAAUAUCCCAAUACUUUGAGGAAGGCAUUCAAAGGCCGUUGUGAAUGCUAGUGUUUGUGCUUUAUAUGUCUACAUGCAAACAGACAAGAGACAGCAGUUGGCUGAAACAGCACAAACCUUGCAACUGACAAGAAACCCAAGGAAGUCAUGUAUUAGCUAGCAACAAGCAAGUGCUCUACAUACGUAUUCAGAGAUCAACAAUAUCUAGCUAAAGCUGGUAUUGAAUUCUGCUUUCUCAACAACUCUAUCAUCAACAUACUGAUAAGCAAAGAAAAGUCACUAUAAGAUAGGAAGUCAGCAGACGUUGGAGAUAUACUGGCAGAGUGUGGCAUGAUGAGCACAUCAGAUUACAUACCAAGCUUAGAAAAAGAUGUUUGCUUGCAUCCAACCUUUUUAUUACAGUAAGACUUUGCUCUUAUCUCUAAAACCUGAUUUCUUUACCUCUCAUCAGCAAUACUGAAAGCCAGGCUCCACAUAAAGCAUUAAGACAGUCCCCAAAACGGUUCAUGUAUUACAGCACGUCUGUUAACUCUGCAGUCAGAGUCACCAUUUCUGAACUCUACUGGUCAGGGCAGAUGGACAGUGGGCAACAGAAAGAUUCCUAAGCAGUUACUGAAUGACAAUAAAAAUAAAGUAAAAAUAAAACUGCACAACUAUCAACCUCAAAGAAAUGACAAGACAUUCCACAAAGACACAGCAAUCAAAAAUAGAAAAAGGAUAUGAAGUCCUUAAGACUAAUGAAGCCACAAACAAUAGCAGAAUUCAUCAACCAAGGCUACAUGGAUCAACCAGCAGAGUGCAUAUAUUCUCAAAGUGCCCAGAUAACUCUCUACCUUCUCAGCAACAAGUAUAGAGGCAGGUAAUAGUACUGACAGGAGCAGCAUCUUCCAUUUCAAAGUGAACAACUUGUAUAUAAGAAAAACACAUCCCAUUUGGGGCACAUCCCAGAAACUCCCAGGAACCUAGGACUUAAAGAAGAGGAAGAUUAAAAAAAGAAGAAGAAUGGCAGAAUUAUUCUUUUAUUAAUGAAUUGUUCUUAUUAAAGAAAAUUAAUAAGUUGCUUCUCCUAGGA